rnacentral:rRNA from 1 species
UAACGUCUCAGUUCGGAUUGUAGUCUGCAACUCGACUACAUGAAGCUGGAAUCGCUAGUAAUCGCAGAUCAGAAUGCUGCGGUGAAUACGUUCCCGGGUCUUGUACACACCGCCCGUCACACCAUGGGAGUCGGAAAUGCCCGAAGCCGGUGACCCAACCAAAAGGAGGGAGCCGUCGAAGGCAGGUCUGAUAACUGGGGUGAAGUCGUAACAAGGUAGC